rnacentral:rRNA from 1 species
UACGUAGGGGGCAAGCGUUAAUCGGAAUUACUGGGCGUAAAGCGUGCGCAGGCGGUUGUGCAAGACCGAUGUGAAAUCCCCGGGCUUAACCUGGGAAUGGCAUUGGUGACUGCACGGCUAGAGUGUGUCAGAGGGGGGUAGAAUUCCACGUGGAGCAGUGAAAUGCGUAGAGAUGUGGAGGAAUACCGAUGGCGAAGGCAGCCCCCUGGGUCGAUACUGACGCUCAUGCACGAAAGCGUGGGGAGCAAACAGG